rnacentral:rRNA from 1 species
GACGAACGCUGGCGGCGUGCUUAACACAUGCAAGUCGAACGAAGUGGCGAACGGGUGAGUAACGCGUAAUCAACUUGCCGUUCGGGGGGGGAAAACAGUUGGAAACGACUGCUAAUACCCCAUACUGAAGGGCGGGAUUGUGUGGGAUUAGCUCGUUGGAGGGGUAACGGCCCACCAAGGCGAUGAUCAGUAGCCGGUCUGAGAGGAUGAACGGCCACAGUGGGACUGAGAAACGGCCCAGACUCCUACGGGAGGCAGCAGGGGGGAAUCUUCCGCAAUGGACGAAAGUCUGACGGAGCAACGCCGCGUGAGUGAUGACGGCCUUCGGGUUGUAAAGCUCUGUUAAUCGGGACGCGGUACCGGAAUAGAAAGCCACGGCUAACUACGUGCCAGCAGCCGCGGUAAUAC